rnacentral:rRNA from 1 species
GACGAACGCUGGCGGCGUGCUUAACACAUGCAAGUCGAACGGAAAGGCCCAGCUUGCUGGGUGCUCGAGUGGCGAACGGGUGAGUAACACGUGGGUGAUCUGCCCCUGACUUUGGGAUAAGCCUGGGAAACUGGGUCUAAUACCGGAUAUGACCUUCUCUCGCAUGGGAGUUGGUGGAAAGCCUUGUGCGGUUGGGGAUGGGCCCGCGGCCUAUCAGCUUGUUGGUGGGGUAAUGGCCUACCAAGGCGACGACGGGUAGCCGACCUGAGAGGGUGAUCGGCCACACUGGGACUGAGACACGGCCCAGACUCCUACGGAGGCAGCAGUGGGGAAUAUUGCACAAUGGGCGCAAGCCUGAUGCAGCGACGCCGCGUGAGGGAUGACGGCCUUCGGGUUGUAAACCUCUUUCA